rnacentral:rRNA from 1 species
CAGUAGCCGCGGGAAUACGUAGGUGGCAAGCGUUGUCCGGAAUUAUUGGGCGUAAAGGGCUCGCAGGCGGUUUCUUAAGUCUGAUGUGAAAGCCCCCGGCUCAACCGGGGAGGGUCAUUGGAAACUGGGAAACUUGAGUGCAGAAGAGGAGAGUGGAAUUCCACGUGUGGCGGUGAAAUGCGUAGAGAUGUGGAGGAACACCUGUGGCGAAGGCGACUCUCUGGUCUGUAACUGACGCUGAGGAGCGAAAGCGUGGGGAGCGAACAGGAUUAGAUACCCCAGUAGUCCCUGUCUCUUAUAC